GGGUAGCUGUAUCUGAUCUCCCUGCUGUACAGGGUACUCAGAGGGAUGGUUCGCUUGUAUCAAGGCUCUGUGGAACUCUGGUAACAUUAAAAGAGGUAGUAACCUGAUGUUCGCACGUAAAGCAGCCGACCAGUCAUGGCACACUCCUCCUACACCUGCUGCUGCCUUCGUCGUUUCAGAAGCGCCACCGAACACUGCAGAAGCUUUAAAGAUUGCUGAAGAGCUUUUGCUCCCUCUUGAUGCGC